AAAAAAUUAGUUAACUACAUAACAUGAAUCUGUCUAAUUCAAAUAAUUAUAAAAAUAAUAUUUUUUU
rnacentral:tRNA from 1 species